UACGAGGGGGGCAAAUGUUGUUCGGAAUCACUGGGCGUAAAGGGAGCGUAGGCGGGUUUUUAAGUUAGGUGUUUAAUACCGGGGCCCAACCCCGGACCGGCACUUAAAACUGGGAAUCUUGAAUAGUGGAGAGGUCAGUGGAAUUGGGGGUGUAGCGGUGGAAUGCGUAGAGAUCCCCAAGAACACCAGUUGCGAAGGCGGCUGACUGGACACAUAUUGACGCUGAGGCUCGAAAGCAUGGGGAGCAAACAGG
rnacentral:rRNA from 1 species